GAUGAACGCUGGCGGCGUGCCUAAUACAUGCAAGUCGAGCGAACGGACGAGAAGCUUGCUUCUCUGAUGUUAGCGGCGGACGGGUGAGUAACACGUGGAUAACCUACCUAUAAGACUGGGAUAACUUCGGGAAACCGGAGCUAAUACCGGAUAAUAUUUUGAACCGCAUGGUUCAAAAGUGAAAGACGGUCUUGCUGUCACUUAUAGAUGGAUCCGCGCUGCAUUAGCUAGUUGGUAAGGUAACGGCUUACCAAGGCAACGGUGCAUAGCCGACCUGAGAGGGUGAUCGGCCACACUGGAACUGAGACACGGUCCAGACUCCUACGGGAGGCAGCAGUAGGGAAUCUUCCGCAAUGGGCGAAAGCCUGACGGAGCAACGCCGCGUGAGUGAUGAAGGUCUUCGGAUCGUAAAACUCUGUUAUUAGGGAAGAACAUAUGUGUAAGUAACUGUGCACAUCUUGACGGUACCUAAUCAGAAAGCCACGGCUAACUACGUGCCAGCAGCCGCGGUAAUACGUAGGUGGCAAGCGUUAUCCGGAAUUAUUGGGCGUAAAGCGCGCGUAGGCGGUUUUUUAAGUCUGAUGUGAAAGCCCACGGCUCAACCGUGGAGGGUCAUUGGAAACUGGAAAACUUGAGUGCAGAAGAGGAAAGUGGAAUUCCAUGUGUAGCGGUGAAAUGCGCAGAGAUAUGGAGGAACACCAGUGGCGAAGGCGACUUUCUGGUCUGUAACUGACGCUGAUGUGCGAAAGCGUGGGGAUCAAACAGGAUUAGAUACCCUGGUAGUCCACGCCGUAAACGAUGAGUGCUAAGUGUUAGGGGGUUUCCGCCCCUUAGUGCUGCAGCUAACGCAUUAAGCACUCCGCCUGGGGAGUACGACCGCAAGGUUGAAACUCAAAGGAAUUGACGGGGACCCGCACAAGCGGUGGAGCAUGUGGUUUAAUUCGAAGCAACGCGAAGAACCUUACCAAAUCUUGACAUCCUUUGACAACUCUAGAGAUAGAGCCUUCCCCUUCGGGGGACAAAGUGACAGGUGGUGCGUGGUUGUCGUCAGCUCGUGUCGUGAGAUGUUGGGUUAAGUCCCGCAACGAGCGCAACCCUUAAGCUUAGUUGCCAUCAUUAAGUUGGGCACUCUAGGUUGACUGCCGGUGACAAACCGGAGGAAGGUGGGGAUGACGUCAAAUCAUCAUGCCCCUUAUGAUUUGGGCUACACACGUGCUACAAUGGACAAUACAAAGGGCAGCGAAACCGCGAGGUCAAGCAAAUCCCAUAAAGAUGUUCUCAGUUCGGAUUGUAGUCUGCAACUCGACUACAUGAAGCUGGAAUCGCUAGUAAUCGUAGAUCAGCAUGCUACGGUGAAUACGUUCCCGGGUCU
rnacentral:rRNA from 1 species